GAUGAACGCUGGCGGCGUGCCUAAUACAUGCAAGUCGAGCGAACGGACGAGAAGCUUGCUUCUCUGAUGUUAGCGGCGGAAGGGUGAGUAACACGUGGAUAACCUACCUAUAAGACUGGGAUAACUUCGGGAAACCGGAGCUAAUACCGGCUAAUAUUUUGAACCGCAUGGUUCAAAAGUGAAAGACGGUCUUGCUGUCACUUAUAGAUGGAUCCGCGCUGCAUUAGCUAGUUGGUAAGGUAACGGCUUACCAAGGCAACGAUGCAUAGCCGACCUGAGAGGGUGAUCCGCCACACUGGAACUGAGACACGGUCCAGACUCCUACGGGAGGCAGCAGUAGGGAAUCUUCCGCAAUGGGCGAGAGCCUGACGGAGCAACGCCGCGUGAGUGAUGAAGGUCUUCGGAUCGUAAAACUCUGUUAUUAGGGAAGAACAUAUGUGUAAGUAACUGUGCACAUCUUGACGGUACCUAAUCAGAAAGCCACGGCUAACUACGUG
rnacentral:rRNA from 1 species